AAACCCUGGUUUCUCUUCAGAGCCUAUAAAUCUUUCGCCUUUUUCUAAAGAUUUCCGUGGAGAGGAACAACUCUGAGUCAUAGCCCAGUUUUUAAAAAUGAAUAUAAAAAAAAAUC